GCGGUUGUGGGGAGCGAAGGACACGUUGAAUGUUCACGAUUUCCUUUCAUAUAAAUUUACUCUCUCUUUCUCCUUAGUCACCUUCUACUAGCAUGACCAGCUGUCCUUCCCCUGGAAACACAACGAGUUUGAAUCUGGCUGUCAUCCAUGAGCCGUAACAGCCGGGGCUGUGAACACAUUGCAGUGCCCGAGGGCAGUAGCGUGGACAACCUGUGCUCUCCUCACAUGAGUGAGCGGCGAGCGGUCCAGGGAUCCGAGCUGGCACGCUCAGCCAAACAGGUGUAUGAUGGGAAGACGCAGGCUGUGAAGGGUGAAUUUUCUUACGUGGAGGAUCCUUAUGCGGUGUUCAUUGCAUCCUACGCACUGAGCGGGAAAGAAGUUCAAUGCACCUGGAAAAAUUUGACAAGACCUGACAGUACUUGUUGUGCAGAUUAGGAGUUUCAGAUGAAACCCUGUGAAGCCGAUUGGAACGUACACUGAGAUGAUGUAGUAUACAGAUCAUUAGAAGAAGAAAACAGUUUUGAUGUUGAAGAGCCUGACAAGGGCCAACAGGACAUCUCUACCUGCUGACGUCACGUCAAACUCCCGCUGUCCUUCAGUGUUGUUGGCCUCAGCGGCUCAGUAGAAAAACACCGGGAGCAAAAGGUUACCUUCUCCACAGAAACAUGUAAACAGACUGAAAGGUCAUCAAACAGAGCCCCGUGCCGCAGCGCCCAUCUCUAGCAGAGGAGGAAUUUAAAAAAGAAAGGUUGUGAGGAAAAGUGGCUGGCCCUUUCAAAAGCACAGAACAGGACAAGAAGGUUUUUAGACCCAGUCCUUAUUCAUCUUCUCACUGAAAAGAGGGACCUGAACAUUCUUCCAGAAUUCACCUUUUGUGUUCUGCAGAAGCAAGUCUUACAGAUUCAGAAUGAAGGGAAAGCCCCUUAGAUAAAGUCCAUCAUGGAGAUGGCUUCUGACAAAUAUGUCGAGUGUGGCGAAGACAUGACAGCUGUCAGUCAAGGUCCAGGCACUGGGAGGUCUUAAUUGCUGCUGUACUGUGCAUCCCAAGCACCCCCUGCAUUCUUACCAUGGAUUGCUGUCAUUCAAGAAGUUAUCAUUUCCUCCCCCAUUGUGGCUGAGCUACACAUUCUCUGCGUUUUAUUUUAAACAGAAAACAUCCAGAGGAGAUGGCACCUAUGCUGGAAUCCAUACAAAUGUCCGGCCUCCAUGUGUUUGCAGGGAUAUCCCAUGCCUAGCGUCGCCCACGGGGUGAGGGCGGGGAGAUGGGUGGCUGACGCAGGCCGCAGCGGCUGUGCUACCUAUCUUCCUUUUGAAGCAAAGCGGAGCUGACAGAGGCCACCUCAGGAGACGGCUCACUCUCCAUCACAGUGCUGAGAGGAAGAGGCAGGGUCUGUCAGGGGUCCUCUAGCACUGCAGAGAGCUACGUACCCCCAUCCUGCUGCUGUCUCCACUGCACCCAGUCACUUCACGCACCAUCCAUACAAUGAGGAAACGUACAGGCAGUGAAUGUGAAUGUCGCUCCCAUCUGGAGCUCGCGAGCCUUUUGUAGAUGCACAUCAAGCAGUCGAAAUGUGACAGGACUUAUAAUGGACUCAGAGCGGCAGAAUGCCUCCGAAAGCGGCCCACAACGGUGUCUCCGAAUUACCUUGCCUCGCCGAAGAUGACGAUUAGAUUCACCGAGGACACUGCAGGUGCUUUCUACCGGUGGCGUUUCCUUAUUAGUCAGAUGUCACUCAAGCCUGUUUACGAUGCCAGGUAGCUGCUUUUGAUUUGCUCUGACACAAAACGGCAUUAUAACAUCUCACGAGUCUCCACACACGCAUGAAUACACAAUUACGUGCAAGCACACACACAUAUAGACUCAUCUUUCACACUGUAACUCCAUCCCUCAAUUCCACACAGAGCUGGACCAAUUAUUUUCUGCUGUACCAGCAUUUCCAA